rnacentral:rRNA from 1 species
UACAGAGGUCCCGAGCGUUGUUCGGAAUCACUGGGCGUAAAGGGCGUGUAGGCGGUCAAGUUAGUGGGACGUGAAAUGCCUCGGCUCACCCGAGGACCUGCGUCCCAAACUGCUUGGCUUGAGUAUGGGAGAGGAUGUGGGAAUUCCUGGUGUAGCGGUGAAAUGCGUAGAUAUCAGGAGGAACACCGGUGGCGAAGGCGCACAUCUGGCCCAAUACUGACGCUGAGGCGCGAAAGCUAGGGGAGCAAACGGG